UGGGGAAAACCUCGGGAAACUGAGGCUAAUACCGAAUGUAGCGGCCCGCUCGCAUGAGCGGAGCGCCAAAGGGGGCGAAAGCUCCCCCUCUUCGAGGGGCCCGCGCACCAUCAGCUAGUCGGCGGGGUACGGCCCACCGAGGCUUACGGUUAGCUGGUCUGAGAGGAUGGCCAGCCGCACUGGGACUGAGAUACUGCCCAGACUCCUACGGGAGGCUGCAGUCGAGGAUCAUUUGCAAUGGGCGAAAGCCUGACAAUGCGACGCCUGCGUGGAGGAUGAAGGCCCUCGGGUUGUAAACUCCUGUCAGUGGGGGAAAAGGAAAAGGGACCCAACACGUCCCCGAUUUGAUGGUACCCCAAGAGGAAGCGACGGCUAACUCUGUGCCAGCCGCCGC
rnacentral:rRNA from 1 species